rnacentral:lncRNA from 10 species
UGUUUAGUGAGAAACUUCCACGUUCAUUUGGUAAAUAGGUUUUCAUCCCCUGUCUGAGUUCUCCAGUCUUUUCUUAGCUCUGACUUGUGGCUGAAAGUUGUCCUACAUUCAUCACCUUUAUAGAAUUCCUCCCAUGAGUUCUCUGAUGUUCUUGGAAGUGUGAUUUCUGCCUAAAAGUACUCCAAGAUCCAUGACACCGGCAGGCCCAUUCACAUGUGUGAGUUCUCUGAUACAGUGCAAGGUUUAAUGUGUGGCUGAAAGCUUUUCCACACUCAUUAUGUUUAUAAAUUUAAUCCCAGUGAGUUUUCUGAUACUUUUCAUGUUUUUACUUCUGGUAGAAAUCUUCCCUACUACAUCAUAUUUAUAGGAUUUCUUCAUUGUGGGAUUUAUCUGAUGGCUUUUUACAACUGAAAACUCUUUGAAAAAUUUCCCACAUUGAUCACAUUUAUAGGAUUUCUGAUCUUUGUGAGUUCUCUGAUGCACUCUAAGGCCUGAUUUCUAGUUGAAAGCUUUACCACAUUCAUUAUUCAGAGGGUUUCUUCCCUGUGUGAAUUCUCUGAUGUAUAAGGUUUGACUUCCUACAGAAAGACUUCCCACAUUCAGUACAUUCAAAGGGUCCUCCUCUGAGUGUGUUCUCUGAUGUACUCUAAGAGAUUAUUUUCAGGGAAAAUUGUCCCACAUUCAUUACAUUCAUAGGUUUUCUCAACUUUGUGACUUAUUUGAUGUAUAAGGAAUGAUCUCCUAGAGAAGAAUUUUUGACACUGAAGAUACAAAUAGGACUUCUCCUUUAUGUGAGUUCUCUGAUGUAUAUUGAAGGUCGACUGAGAACUGAGUUUCCCUGCAUGUGUUAUUAUGACAGGAUGUCUUCAAUGUGUAAGUUUUCUGAUGAUGUACUGUAAGGGCUUAAAUGUGGCUGACGUUUUUCCCAAACUCAAAACGUUUCACCCCUGUGAGAGCUCUCUGAUAUUCUCUGAAGAGUACUUUUCAACUGAAAGUUGAAAAGAAAAAAAAGAAAGGAAGAAUUCUUUGUAUUGAUCUAUCAUGUAAAAAUUCUGGUGUAUACCUGACUGUCACCCUGCUGCUAGCCAUACUUCAUUAACAAAUUAAACAAAAAUUAAAGAAAAGAAAAGAAAUAAUUAAAAAAUCAAGUAAGGGUCAGAAAAACAACACAGGAAGCUGGGCACGGUGGCUCAUGCCUGUAAUCCCAGCAUUCUGGGAGGCCAAGUUUUUUUUUUUAAUGAUAGUGUUGGGGCUCAGAAAAUGAUACCCCAAAGGACUGAGCAGCAGCCUCAGAAUCAAAAUUUCUCUUUCUCUUGCCCUGUGUUUCUUCCCCAUCAUUCUCCUCCAAGGCAAGCCACAGAAACUCGAAUUCCUCUUCCCCAAGGCAAGUCAUAGAAACUAUUAAUGCAACCCUUUUCCACAGAGCUAGCCAUAAAACCUAAAUAUAUUACUCUAAUUUUCCCCCAUUUCUGUGUAAGACCUGGCUAUGAAGAAAAUCUCUCAUCUACCUUGUUUGAUAAUAGGUCAUAAACCCUCCAUUCCAGAAAGGAUACUACUCAUACCUGGGAGAAAUUAAAUGCCAUUCAGAGAGGCCAAGAAGAAUCUGAACCACACAGGCCUGCUGGGUUUCCUCACUCAGUCUAUUAACACUGGCUUAUAACCAUUUUUGUCCAGUCACACUUCUACAUGGCUGUCCCUGCUUCAUUGAACCCAAGCAUAAAACCAGAUCAUUUCCCCUGUACCUCUGAGUCCUCAUUCUGAAGGCUCCCAUGUCACGUAAAACUAUGACCAAAUAAAUUAUAUUUUUCUCUUUUUAACCCAUCUUUUAUUAUGGAGUGUCAGCCAUGACUCUUAUGAGGAGGGGAAAGGCAUCACACCUUUCUGUCCCAAAAAUAGUAAGGAAAUU